UCAUGACUUUGUAUCGAUGUGAUCUGUUUGCGUAGGUCUUGUAUCUCCUUCACUCCUCGGUAAAGAUUAGUCAGUUACGUUCGGGCAUUCCUAGUGAGCAUAAGUUGCUAGCUGCUGCUUUGCUGUGGCUUAAAUGCCGUUUCCAGUUUUGGGACGCAGGAUUUUUGUGCGCACGCGAUUUCACUGAACGUCUUUGCUGUCGCCUGUAUAACAUUAGCGUUGGAUGCGCUGUAAGACCGUGGCCUUUGAUUCUGGCGCCACCUGGUGUUCGCUGGUAACUCCUUCGUCUUUGUUUGUUUUGUGUAUUUUGUUUAAGUGUGUGUGCAAUGGAGUUUGAUUGAAAUUGAGUUUGUUUCAGUUCAAGUUGCUUCAUUGUAUUUUAUUUAUUAGGUUUUGGUUUUAUUUGGUUGAUGUGGAGUGG
ensembl:lncRNA